rnacentral:lncRNA from 1 species
ACUGCACCCCACACAACCAACUAUUCUUCCCCUUACACACCUAAGGGCAGUCAUUCUGGGGAGCCAAACUGGGCACACACCCUUCACCCCAAGGAGCCCCUUCAGCCACUUGGCCCUCUCUAGUGUUUGCCAAUGAAUCCUCUCCUUUCACGACCUUUCUUGUUUCCUCAAAAGCACUCCGUUCCACAGGAGCCAGUGGGCUCAACUCAGCUCAAACCACCACCCAGGGAAGAUCCACAGCCAUUGGUGCCAGCUCCAGGGGAGCCACUCAAGGAGACACCCAACAAGGAGCAGAGACCACAGUCACCAGGAGCAGAGAAGAAACCAUCAGCACCACAGGAGCCAGCGGCACAAAGGGCGCUGAAAUCACCCCCAAGGGAAGACCCACCACAGCACAAGGCACCAACUCCAAUGGGGCCAGUCAAGGUGAGUGGAGCAACAAAGACCUGCUGGCUCCUGCACUUCUUCCGGGGGAUGCUCCAAUCCUUGACAGAGUCCAGUGGCCUAGCAGAGCUGCUGGCUGCCAACUUUCUACAGUUCUCACCAAACUUUCUUCCUCAUCGCAAUUCCUUGCUGCCCACAGGUGCGACCACCCGCCAAGGAGCAGACAGCCUCCUCAAUGGGAGCACUCAAGGUGAGUCCCAAGUGAACACUUGACCCUGGCCAGCUCACCCCAUUCUCAGGCUUUGGGGGCCCCUUUGGCACUCUGACAAGGCACAUCCACAAAUCUCUUGCCCAUGCUGCCUUUGAUGACUUCC